rnacentral:rRNA from 1 species
UACGUAGGAGGCAAGCGUUGUCCGGAAUUACUGGGCGUAAAGCGCGUGUAGGUGGUGGGACAAGUCUGCUGUGAAAGCGCCUGGCUUAACCGGGCGAGGUCGGCGGAAACUGUCCGACUAGAGGACGGUAGAGGGGGGUGGAAUUCCCGGUGUAGUGGUGAAAUGCGUAGAGAUCGGGAGGAACACCUGUGGCGAAGGCGGCCCGCUGGGCAGUGGCUGACGCUGAGGCGCGACAGCGUGGGGAGCAAACAGG